AAAGAAAGAAAGAAAGAAACGUUGAAGAAGAAGAAGAAGAAGAAGAAGAAGAAGAAGAAGAAGAAGAAAGAGCUUUGAAAAACAUGCCCUCAACGAAAGAACUUUCUUGACUCCGUGAUGCAAACAGCUUUCAGGCAAUAAUCACCGCGGGCACCACAGUGGUCACUGAGGUUGGGGCCAGCUCGGGAAAGUGACGCCCAUCUCGAGGGGGCGUGGAAGAAGGGCGGACGAUCCUGAGGCGGAGGUGAAGAAACAGACCCCGGGACAGCCUCCCCUGGGGGCAGGUGUGGCAGCGCACGUGUUCAGGGAGGAGGCCAGCCUGCCCAGCCUGCCUGUGACCUUGGCACCCACAGAGGAGACCCCCCCCCAAGCCCAGAAAACCAAGAACCGUUUGGACACUGGCAGUCACUAAACCCAGCUCGUGUCUGCUCCUCCGCUCCCUUGGAGCUUGAAGGAAUGAGCCAGAGGACAACGUAAGCUGGUAGGAAACUUCUAGACCUUAUUGUUUCCACUGUGGACACAUUGUCUUCUCUCCCUCUCCUUCUCUUUCGUUUUAAUGAAGUAUUACCCAGAACACCAACAUACCCAGGAGAUGGAAACAGAGUUGCCCUGAUUGGACAGGAGAGGGGUGUCCUUGGACUUGCCCCAUGCACACCGGGCGAUCUCUGUGUCUUCCUGGCUGGCCCCAGGCUCCUCAGGAUGGACUGAGGGCCAGCAGGUGAGUCCAUCCGGGGUUGUAGGGAUGGGGGAACGGAGGCCCAGAGAGGCUGAGGCACUUGCCCAGAGUCACACAGCCCCAAGGGAUAGAGCCAAGGGCUCCCAGGCCAGCCUGACCCAAAGACCUGCGUUUAGCACCUGCCAUUCAAACGCUCUCCAUCAGCGGAGACGCAGGCUGGCGGGUCGGGGACCAGUGCCCGCAUUCCGUUUCUGAGUCCAUACCUGGUCCAUUUGCAGGGACAGCAGAUUUAGCCAGAGCUCCCCAAGACCUGCUCGGUGGGUUGAGACUUAUGGGGGGGGGGGCUGCGGAACAUACCCAGGAUGCUCCGUCUGUUAAAAUCAUGCCCCAACAGGACAGGAAGGGGCCGGGCAGGCUCCAUGCCUGCACAUGCUCCAAGCGGAAGGAGGGGCUGGGUUCCUUCCAGCCCUCUGGGGUCACCCCUGCAGGAGGCCCGAGCGACAGCGGAUGUCUAUUUUGUGGCUGCGGGUCCACUCGUGGUCACAGAGCAAGGCUCCUUCCAGGCACAUGACACUUCUGCGAGGGUUCCUUGAACCUGGGGUGCCACCGCCAUGGCGGGCUGCCGUCUGCUUUGUCACGGGUUAAAGCAUCUCCGAGCCCUCGUGCUGGGUCGGGGAUCGUCCCCCUGAAUCAUCGCAGCCGGAGGCGCCCGCCAUGACCACCCCAUUUUGCAGACGGGAAACUGAGGACCGUGGAGUCACCUGCCUGGGGUCGCACAGCUAACCGCCAAUGGGCAGGCCUGGGGGGUGCGGGUGUCUCAGGCCCCCAGGGAACCCGCUCCUGAACACUAGGCCUCACUGCCUCCCAGCCUGGGGAUGUGAUCACUUCUCACAGCGACGAGGCUCCGGUAAACCCAACCCCCCCCCCCCACCCCCACCCCGGCUCACCCCGAUCCCGCGUCUUGUCCGCGUACGCGAAAUAAAUAUUUUAUCUCAGCCA